CCCUGAAACAAGAAAGAUUUCCUACGGGGGCUCAGCAGGCGCGAAACCUCCGCAAUGCACGCAAGUGCGACGGGGGAACCCAAAGUGCCACUCUUAACGGGGUGGCUUUUCAGAAGUGUAAAAAAGCUUCUGGAAUAAGGGCUGGGCAAGACCGGUGCCAGCCGCCGCGGUAACACCGGCAGCUCAAGUGGUAGCCGCUUUUAUUGGGCCUAAAGCGUCCGUAGCCGGUCUGAUAAGUCUCUGGUGAAAUCCCACAGCUUAACUGUGGGAAUUGCUGGAGAUACUAUCAUGACUCGAGGUCGGGAGAGGCUGGAGGUACUCCCAGGGUAGGGGUGAAAUCCUGUAAUCCUGGGAGGACCACCUGUGGCGAAGGCGUCCAGCUGGAACGAACCUGACGGUGAGGGACGAAAGCCAGGGGCGCGAACCGGAUUAGAUACCCGGG
rnacentral:rRNA from 1 species